rnacentral:rRNA from 1 species
AUUGAACGCUGGCGGCAGGCCUAACACAUGCAAGUCGAGCGGAUGAAGGGAGCUUGCUCCUGGAUUCAGCGGCGGACGGGUGAGUAAUGCCUAGGAAUCUGCCUGGUAGUGGGGGAUAACGUCCGGAAACGGGCGCUAAUACCGCAUACGUCCUGAGGGAGAAAGUGGGGGAUCUUCGGACCUCACGCUAUCAGAUGAGCCUAGUCGGAUUAGCUAGUUGGUGGGGUAAAGGCCUACCAAGGCGACGAUCCGUAACUGGUCUGAGAGGAUGAUCAGUCACACUGGAACUGAGACACGGUCCAGACUCCUACGGGAGGCAGCAGUGGGGAAUAUUGGACAAUGGGCGAAAGCCUGAUCCAGCCAUGCCGCGUGUGUGAAGAAGGUCUUCGGAUUGUAAAGCACUUUAAGUUGGGAGGAAGGGCAGUAAGUUAAUACCUUGCUGUUUUGACGUUACCAACAGAAUAAGCACCGGCUAACUUCGUG